GACAAAGCAAACCUUGUUCAAUACGUGAUCAUCUUCCCUUCCUCUUCUUCUUAACCACAAUCCAAUCUUUCAUCUUCAUCCUGAUUUCUCUAUUUCUCUCUAAAAUACUGAAAGUUAUCGGCUUUUUUCUUUGUUCCUUUUCAUUGUUGUUUGUAUUUAUGCCAUGGCGUUUUCUUCUGGGAGCUUAGAUACAUCUGCAAAUUCCCAUCCUUCAAGUUUCAGUUUCUCCACACAUUCCUGCAUGACCAACUCCUUCUCUGACCUUCUUGCAUCUGGUGCCGAUGAUGAA
rnacentral:misc_RNA from 1 species